rnacentral:rRNA from 1 species
CCUACGGGUGGCUGCAGUGGGGAAUAUUGGACAAUGGGGGCAACCCUGAUCCAGCCAUGCCGCGUGUGUAAAGAAGGCCCUCGGGUUGUAAAGCACUUUCAGUGAGGAAGAACGCCUGGUGGUUAAUACCCAUCAGGAAAGACAUCACUCACAGAAGAAGCACCGGCUAACUCCGUGCCAGCAGCCGCGGUAAUACGGAGGGUGCGAGCGUUAAUCGGAAUUACUGGGCGUAAAGCGCGCGUAGGUGGCUUGAUAAGCCGGUUGUGAAAGCCCCGGGCUCAACCUGGGAACGGCAUCCGGAACUGUCAAGCUAGAGUGCAGGAGAGGAAGGUAGAAUUCCCGGUGUAGCGGUGAAAUGCGUAGAGAUCGGGAGGAAUACCAGUGGCGAAGGCGGCCUUCUGGACUGACACUGACACUGAGGUGCGAAAGCGUGGGUAGCAAACAGGAUUAGAUACCCCAGUAGUC